rnacentral:lncRNA from 1 species
AUUAAUCCUACAUAAGGAUCUAAACAUGAUAUAUAUAGCAUGCAUUUAAAUUUGAAUUUUGAAUUCUCUAUAGUAAAUAUUUUACUGUUAUGUGUUCAGAACACAUUACCUUUGUGCAGAUAGUUGAUCGCCGUAAUUUGAUCAUCGUCGGAAGGGUCUGAUCAUUGCAACAUAGCCACACAGUAUGUCUGGUCCCUGC